GAUGAACGCUAGCAGAACGCCUAACACAUGCAAGUCGAACGAAUAUUAGUCUUCGGACUAAUGUUAGUGGCAAACGGGCGCGUAACACGUAUCUAACCUACCCUUGAGUGAGGCACAACUAUGGAGACAUAGCUAAUUCCUCAUACGCUGCAGAGAAUGAAAAUAUCUGUAGGAAAGAUUUAUCGCUCAAGGAGGGGGGUGCGGCCUAUCAGGUAGUUGGUGAGGUAACGGCUCACCAAGCCUAUGACGGGUAGCCGGUCUGAGAGGAUGUCCGGCCGCAAUGGAACUGAGAACGGUCCAUACUCCUACGGGAGGCAGCAGUGGGGAAUAUUGGACAAUGGGCGAAAGCCUGAUCCAGCGAUUCUGCGUGAAGGAUGAAGCCUUAUGGGGUGUAAACUUCUUUUCUGGGGGAAGACGAAUGACGGUACCUCAGGAAUAAGAGACGGCUAACUACGUG
rnacentral:rRNA from 1 species